GAUAGAACGCUAGCGGGAGGCUUAACACAUGCAAGUCGAGGGGCAGCAUAGGGUAGCAAUACUCUGAUGGCGACCGGCAAACGGGCGAGUAACGCGUAUGCAACCUACCCUGUACAGGGGGAUAACCCGGAGAAAUUCGGACUAAUAUCCCGUAAUAAUAUCCGGAGGCAUCUUUGGAUAUUUAAAGUUCCGACGGUACGGGAUGGGCAUGCGUAAACAUUAACUGGGUUGGUAAAGGUAACCGGCUUACCAAGGCUAUGAUGUUUAGGGGUCCUGAGAGGGUGGUCCCCCACACUGGUACUGAGACACGGACCAGACUCCUACGGGAGGCAGCAGUGAGGAAUAUUGGUCAAUGGGCGCAAGCCUGAACCAGCCAUCCCGCGUGCAGGAAGACGGCCCUAUGGGUUGUAAACUGCUUUUCCAGGGAGAGAAACUUACGCACGUGUUGCGUGACUGACGGUACCCUGGGAAUAAGCAUCGGCUAACUCCGUG
rnacentral:rRNA from 1 species